rnacentral:RNase_P_RNA from 1 species
CGAGUCGGCCGGGCGACCGCGUCAGGGCUUACGCCCUGCCGAGGAAGGUCCGGGCUCCACAGGGCAGGGUGGUCGGUAACGCCGACCCGGGGUGACCCGCGGGACAGUGCCACAGAAAACAGACCGCCUCCCCUCGCGGGAGGUAAGGGUGAAACGGUGGUGUAAGAGACCACCAGCGCCCACGGUGACGUGGGCGGCUCGGUAAACCCCACCCGGAGCAAGGUCAAGAAGGGACCCUCCCCGGAGGGCCCCGCGCGCGGCGUUCGAGGGUGACCCGCCCAAGCCGCGCGGGUAGACCGCUUGAGGCCGCCGGCAACGACGGCCCUAGAUGGAUGGUCGCCCCUUUGCACCGCAAAGGACAGAACCCGGCCUACAGGCCGACUCGCCCG